rnacentral:rRNA from 1 species
AAUUAAAAAUAUAUUAUAUAAUAAACUUUAAUUUAAUUAAAACAUUAAUAAAUUAAGUAAAGGUGAUUAAAAAUUAAUAUAUUAUUAUAACUAAAGUACUGUAGAGGAAUUUAAUUAAAUUAAAUAAAAAAAGAAAUUGUUCUUUGUACCUUUUGUAUCAUGGUUUAACUAGAUAAAAUUUCUAAGGAAAAUUCUCGAAAUCUAAUGAGUUACUUCUUGCCCUUAUUUUAGGAUUUUAAAGUUAAUUGUAGCAAAAAUUUCUUGAGAGCUAGAGGUGGAAAUAAAAUUUUAUUCGUAUUAGAUGAUAGCUAGUUUUUUUCUAAAGGCAUAAAAGUGCUUUAAGUUUAAUAUAAAUUAAGAAUUUUAUUAUAAUAAUUCUUAAGAAUAAAACUUAAUUAAUCUUUUGAGGAUAAGCUCAAAAGAAUUUAAAUUGUUAACAUUAAGUUUUAUAUUAAAUAUAGGCUUGAAAAUAGCCAUUAAAUAUAGAUUUUGUUAUAAUUUCAUUAUUUUUGAAAACUAUAAUUUAUUUGUUAAUUUAAAAGAAAAGUAAUUUUAUUAAUUAAUAUAUAAAAUGUAUUUAUGUUGAAAUGAGUAUUAAAAUUUUUUAUUUAAUUAAGUUUCUAUAUUUUUAAAACGUAUAUUAUUUUAUUAUAUAAAAAUCAUAAGAAGGAACUCGGCAAACAAAUGUUCUGCCUGUUUAGCAAAAACAUGGCUUCAUGCUAUAAAUUUAUAUGAAGUCGAACCUGCCCAGUGAAUAUAUUUCAACGGCCGCAGUACUUUGACUGUGCGAAGGUAGCAUAAUCAUUUGCCUUAUAAUUAAAGGCUGGAAUGAAUGGUUUGACAAGAACGUAGCUGUCUCCUUAUGAUUUAAUAGAAUUUUAUCUUAGAAUGAAAAAGUUCUAAUAAAAUUAAAAGACAAGAAGACCCUAUCGAGCUUGAAGUAAAUUAAUAAAGAAGUGUUUAUUAAACAAAAAAUUAUAUUAUUAAAAAUUUUAGUUGGGGUAACUGAGGAGUAAUUAAAAUCUCCUUUAAAUUAAAUUUAAAUUUUAUUGAUACUGAUCCAAAAGUUUUGAUUAAAAAAAAUAGUUACCGUAGGGAUAACAGCAUUAUCUUUUUUAAGAGUUCUUAUCAAAAAAAAGGUUUGUGACCUCGAUGUUGGACCAGAAUAUCCUAAAGAUGCAGAAGUCUUUAAAGGUUGGUCUGUUCGACCAUUAAAAUUCUACGUGAUCUGAGUUCAAACCGGCGUGAGCCAGGUUGGUUUCUAUCUUUAAUUUUAUAAACUUACUUAGUACGAAAGGACCAGUAGUUGUUAUAUAUACAUAUAUUAUAUAUGAAAAAAUUUA